rnacentral:sRNA from 1 species
UAUCACCGACCCAACCAGCUGCCCCAUCCCAGGGCACGGCCCCAAAGCUAUCGCCUCCGGUUCUCCUGAUGU